rnacentral:misc_RNA from 1 species
GAAAUGCGAUAAGUAAUGUGAAUUGCAGAAUUCAGUGAAUCAUCGAAUCUUUGAACGCACAUUGCGCCCCCUGGCAUUCCGGGGGGCAUGCCUGUCCGAGCGUCAUUACACCUCUCAAGCACUGCUUGGUGUUGGGCCGCGCCCCUUGGGGCCGGCCCGAAAGCCAGCGGCGGCGUCCCCGACCCCCAGCGUUGCAAUUCUCGCGCCGGGCGGCGGUGGCGCCUGCCAGAACCCAACUUCUCAAGGUUGACCUCGGAUCAGGUAGGGAUACCCGCUGAACUUAA